GCCCCAUCCUACCCCCCGGGGGCCAUGAUUUGAACAAUCUUGAAUCUUCACUAUGUCAGAACGUUUUCUUGUAAAUAUCAGCUUUUCUGACUCAGUGGUUAUUGAGAAAAAGAUUUUAACUAUAUAUUUGUAUGUAAAACUUUGACCCCCCUUGUGGCCUCAUCCUACCCCCAGGGGCCAUGAUUUGAACAAACUUGAAUCUGCACUAUGUCAAAAAGUUUUCAUCUAAAAAUCAGCUUUUCUGGCUUAGUGGUUCUUGAGAAGAACAUUUUUAAAGUUUUUCCCUAUAUAUUUGUAUGUAGAACUUUGAUCCCCCCUUGUGGCCCCAUCCUACCCCCGGGGGCUAUGAUUUGAACAAACUUGAAUCUGCACUAUGUCAGAAAGUUUUCAUGUAAAAAUCAGCUUUUCUGGCUCAGUGGUUCUUGAGAAGAAGAUUUUUAAAAAAAUGUCCUAUAUAUUUGUAUGUAAAACUUUGAUCCCCUAUUGUGGCCCCAUCCAACCCCCGGAGCCCAUGAUCUGAACAAACUUGAAUCUGCAUUAUGUCAGGAAGCUUUCAUGUAAAUCUCAGCUUUUCUGGCUUAGUGGUUCUUGAGAAGAAGAUUUUUAAAGAUUUUUCCUAUAUAUUUGUAUGUAAAACUUUGAUCCCCCCUUGGGGCCCCAUCCUACAACCGGGGGCCAUGAUUUGAACAAACUUGAAUCUGCAAUAUGUCAGGAAGCUUUCAGGUAAAUUUCAGCUCUUCUGGCCCAGUGGUUCUUGAGAAGAAGAUUUUUAAAUGACCCCACCCUAUUUUUGCAUUUUUGUGAUUAUCUCCCCUUUGAAAGGGACAUGGCCCUUCAUUUGAACAAACUUGAAAGCCCUUCACCCAAGGAUGCUUUUGGCCAAGUUAGGUUGAAAUUGGCCCAGUGGUUCUGGAGAAGAAGUCGAAAAUGUGAAAAGUUUACAGAGAGACGGACAGACAGACAGACGGACGCCGGACAAAAUGUGAUCAGAAUAGCUCACUUGAACCUUCGGUUCAGGUGAGCUAAAAAGGGAAAGUAGUGGCAGUCGACUGCUGAGAGCAUACAGUUCAGAACAAGUCGUGCAUCCAUUAAGCAAGUCAAAGUGAAGGCAGCUAGAGUUGGGUACCGCAGAAAAUAAAUGUACCGCGCGGGUAUACCGUGGUAUUUGCAAAAUACCGCGGUACAUACCACGGUAUACCGCAGAUUUAAUCUUUUAAUUUUAUGAUUCAAUUUUAGUGGAUUUUAGUUGUGAUUUAUUGUUUAUAUAAUAUGUUGACGGUGCUACCGUUUGAGUGAGCGCGGCUCGUAUGUAUAUAUUUUGUAAUGUUCAUGCUUUGAUCGGGUUCAAUACGCCAGUUUCGAGAUAAGAACUCUUCUGUGUAGGAGGUGCAUUUAGUGGAACUUUUAAUGCCAAAGUGGGACAGAGUGGACCUACAGUCCCUAGGGAAUGACAAUGAAAUGUAGUAAAAGCGGCUUCUCUUUAAGUAUGUGAAUGUAGGAAAUGCAAAAUACUAUUGAAAGAAAUAUUUUACUAAAGUGGAAACAUAAACAAUGUCAUAUUUACAAGUAACUUCCAGGAUAUAAUAGAGGGCGAAGCUCUCUCACGGCCCGAAGGUAAGGUAACACGUAUAUACAUGUUUAAAAGGAAAAUAAUGAAAAAUUAAACCAUACCUAUGGAACUUGAAAAGUUUGGUACCAAUGGCGUCGAUUCGAAUAUUAGCGCGUGGACAUGUAUUCCUCCAUUUUGAAUCUCGUCUACCCUAGUUCACGUCGUUCUGAGAUGUUACAUAAAAUCCGUAAAAGCAUGUAAAUCUUAUUUUCUUAAUCAUAUAUAAUCACUCCACGAUUAAUGCCAUGUUUUUUGUUGUGGUUCAAACGCUAUGUUUGUAAAUUUGCUAAAUAACGACGCUGAAUAUGACGUAACAAUGUACUGUUUACAUCAAUUGCGUUAUAUUUCCCGCAUUCAAUAUAUAGGCGGAUCAAAUGUCCAAAAUUAAAAUGCUUUGAUACAGCUCCGUCCGCGUGCUAACUUCGGGUUGUUUUUGUCCUGUUUUGGAUAUAGAUAAUAAUGCCAAAACUUUUUUGCUUCGCCCUCAAACACGGUCACGCCGUAAAACAUAUUACGUACAAGCAAUGAAAUAACGUGAUAUAAUAAGAAUUCCAUGUAUUUAAUUACUACCUGAAUACUUAUCAUUUACUUAGUUUGUGUAUCAGUUGAAUUUGGGUGUUGAAACUGCGUAUACACGAGAAACUUGCUGAGCAGAUUCACUUAUGCAACACUGAAAAUGUCCCAAACCCGCAUGUAAACAAAUUGUUUCGCGCCUUAUUAUGUACGAGAGUUCUCCAAAGGGAAAUAACUCGGACGUAUCUCGAAACUGGCGUAUUUAAACAAUAUCUACUUGCCAAAUACUCAUGACAUGGAUUUUCUCCCAGGGUUUAUAUUAAAAAUCAUUAAAACGUGUAUACAUGAAUGUGAUUGAAAUAUUUUUAUGCUAUACAUUGUACAGUACCCGCAACGUUAUUCUUGACAUGAUAAACGAUAGAACACGAUACACGCACGAUAGGAUAGGAUACACGCACGAUACGAUAGGAUACACGCACGAUACGAUAGGAUACACGGUAAACCUGAUAAACGCAAAACCUGAUAAACGAUCUUCACGAUAGACCUGAUAAACGCAAAACACGAUAAACGAUCUUCACGAUAAACGGAAAACCUGAUAGAAAUGUUGUAAAUUUAGAAACAAUUUAGACAGAACGAAAGUUUGAUACGUACAAAAUAAUUUCAUUAUGUUGAUAAUAAUAUUGAAGGAUUUCAAUACUUAAUAUAUACCUAAAGCAUAUAAUGUAAUUAUCCACGGUUGUACGUUUAUUUUUUUUAAAUUCUAUUUAUGUUUUCUUUAACGUCAUUACAGCUAAAAUCCGGAAGCUAAACUAUAUACGGUAUUGAAUUCAUUAUUUGAUAUCUAUAUGAAUUUUCUCAGCCAAUGAUUCUAAAACGUAUAUUGUCACCUUGAAUGUUUAAUAUAUGAAUCAUAAAUGGAGUGAUUGAUUUUUAUCUUGCUUAACGUCACCAUGACCGGUGAAGAGCUUUUAAAUUUAGGCUUAUGCUCGGCAAUUACGGCCAUUGAGCAGUGAGGGUUUUUUAGCGUGCCACACCUACCGUGACACGGGGCGUCUGUUUUUAAGGUCAUCUCCGAGGACCCGUGGUAUUCACACUUGAUACCGAGUGUUUAGCAAUUAAACAGGGAAUUAACAAAAUGGAAUAUAAUGUAGUGAUAUCAUGCUUCAAUAGCUCUCUUAUUCUGUUGUCUAUUAUCUUGGAUAUCAAAUAAAACUAAGUAAUAUUUUGUGUGUAGCGAGGAGGGGGGUUAUUUUGCAUCAAGCUCUGAGUUCACCGCUCUUUCAACAACUACAAUUAUUUUCAUAAUGACCGCUUUAAAUUCAAUCCACUGCACUACACCAUAUGCUCAUAUGUUAGAUAUUUCUACACUAUGAGUAAUAAUUGAUAGUCAUAAGUAAUUGGAACAUAUUCAUAUGAAUUGAUAUUUUGUUAACAAAAAAUAAAUAAACUAUUAAAAACAUAAACGAAACCCGGCUUGAUUUAAAGUCGCAAUUUAGAAACGCUUUAAAUUAAAUGUUUGUGUUUAGCAUGUAAAAAAAUUCAAAUAAUCAUCAAAACCGGCAUACAUUUCCAGUAUCUACACGUACGACUAUUGGUAUAUGUGUACAUGUACAAAUAAAAAAAAAACAACGAUGACAGCUGAAUCGUGCCCAAUUGAGCAGAACUUUGGGAGAUGCAAUAUACCCUUGCACUCUUUUAAAACUUAAUCUUCUAAAUGUGUGAAAUACAAUGCCCCUGAGAAUGUUUACUGUCAAAACACGGGUGAUACACAAAAUCAGAUAGAUAAGAACGCGCACAAGUUCAGCAGUUGGUAUAUAAGUUGAAUACAGGUGAACAAAAUCGGAAGAAAAAGAACCAUUAUUAAAAUAUAUGUGAUAAACAAUGUAAUUUACUGAUUUUUCCUUUCAGAUCGGAACUUUCUAUUUCUCUGUUAGUGUUAAUUACAAAUUAUUGUUUCUAGACAAGGAACUGUUUAUGAACUCCAGAUGAAGGAGCUUUCAGUUUUAUUGUCCUCGGUUUGCUCGGCAAACCACUGCCUACUUUCCAGACAGAAUGACAUUGCGAUAAAUUUUCACCCUCUCUGGACAGACAUAUAGCUCUUUUUCUGCUUUAAAAUCAACAGCUUUAUGUUCUCCUUCAAAUAUACUGUCUUUCCUCGAUUCCUAAAAAUAGCUUCUUUAACAAAACGAAUAAAGCUUUCGGAAAGUAUCUUACUUUUUCAUUAGAUUUAAUAUACGAUCCCGAUAGUUUCCGAAGCUACACGAUAAACGAUUUUCACGAUAAACGGAAAACCCGAUACACGCAUAAUACGAUACACGAUAGACCUGAUAAACGCAAAACACGAUAGAAAACGGAAAACCUGAUACACGAUAGGAUAGGAUACACGCACGAUACGAUAGGAUACACGCACGAUACGAUAGGAUACACGCACGAUAGAACACGAUAGGAAUGUCAAGAAUAACGUUGCGGGUACUGUAUAUACAUUUUAUUUCUGCUGCCUUCACUGUGACUUGCUUAACCUUUGAUGCACGAAUUGUUCUGAACUGUAUGCACUCAGCAGUCGACUGCCUCUACUUUCUUUUUUUUUUUACUCUCAAUCUUUUCAAGUUACUAAUUGUAUGAUAAGAAUGCCCAAACCUUUCAAGAUGUUUGUUUGCCACUACUUUCCUAGUAAAACUAGAAUUAAUUAAUGAUUUUUCAGUCGUUAUUAGCACGUGGCAUGGUUGGUUAUCAUGAGGGAGAUGGGUCAUCGUGGUUUGCAUUACCGGUCAUGUUAAAAUUAAGGAAAUGGAUCCAAGCACUCGUUAUUUUUAGUCGCGGAAAAAAAAGCAAACAAAGAUUUUUUUAUAUAAAAUUUCAAUCCGACCAAAUCCCAUCGAUUUUUUGUAAUUUUUUAAAUAACACUAAUUCAGUACCUGUGCUCACUCACAUAUUCUAACAAUUUAGUUAGUCUCCCCUUUUCUUGUUAUUGAGAAUUUAGUAUUUUAAUCAGAUUUGUGAUUUACAGUCGAUGAUACACAAUUUGUAUUCGAUGUCCCAUUACGUAUGCCUAAUGUUUACGUAUAUUCAAUAUAAUGUCCCGGUAGUAUGACUUUUACAAAUGGAAAUAACAAGUACGUAUUUAGAUCCGCCACUGUCAGUCUUAUUAUGACGUACGUCAAAACGUAGACAUGACGUUACACAUCAUCUUAGCCUGCCUUUCAUAAACAUUGCACUUCAUUAAACAUUUCGCCUAUAACGGUGCACUGAAUUUUGGAGCUAGGAGGCCACAAGAUUAGGAUGAUAAUCAUAUACCAAGAUGUGACUUUGCGAGAUCUAAGCCAUUUUUGACAAGGGACUCACAGGCACUUGUUUCAUACAUGUGUCCCCCUCCUUAAUGAUACCACAAGGUACCUAACUAGAUUUCGGACACCUCUCGCUUCAAGUCUCAUUUCACGAAAAAGAAGUUUAAACGAAAUCUUUUUUUAAAAACAGAGCUCAAUUACUUUUAUGUUAGUCCUACAUAGCCCCAAAAAUUAUAUUAUUCCAUAAAAUAAUUACUAUUUAUUUUUCACACACAGUAUAUUUUAUAUCCAUAAAAAAAAAAUUGACCGUAGAUCUCAAACCGGAAGUUGUUGUAGUAGAUGAAGCGUCUGAAAAUGUUAAACGGUAGAAAUCGAUGAAUAAAUAAGUAGUUUACAGACAUGGGGCUUCGUGUAAGGUACUGAAAACGACAUACCAGCAAGGACAAUGUCUAUUAAAGCGUCUUAUAUCACAAAAGUGAGGAUGAAUAGCGAACUAAUCGUAAAAUGAGACUUGAAGCGAGAGGUGUCCGAAAUCUAGUUAGGUGCCUUGUGGUAUUAUUAAGAAGGGAAAACCAUGUAUGAAACAAGUGCCUGUGAAGGGGCUUCUGGGAUUAGCGUCAUUUUUUUUUUCCUUGUUAGAGGCUCGCAGUACGGCUUACUGCGCUCGCUAUAAUAGACUGUUUCACGAUAACUUUCGCACAUGCGCAUAACUACUUCUAUCGCUAUAUUUAACUAACGCCUUUUAUCGUACGAAGUACAUAUUUCAAAAGAGGAAAAUAAAUGGUUUUUAUGUGAAAGUGUAUGUGUUUUACCUUUGACAUGUAUUUUGGGGUUCCGAUGUUGCGUUCUGAUAACAAUUGAAUAAUAUAUUUUUAGAAAUAAAAUUUGAAAAAUGUGCAUUGAACUUGCUACCCCAUAGGUAUACACGGGAACUUCCGUGUUUACAUUGACAACAAAAAUGGCAAACCGGGAGAUUUAUAACACAAAAAGAUGAAAACCGUCAAUGUUCCUAUGGCUGAAAUACCGAUAAAGUUAAAAAUGUAUACAUGUGAAGGAGUCAUCCCAGAUAUUUCAGGCAAUGAUACCCCCCCCCCCCCCACAUACAAACACACUGUACUUCAUAUUUGACACUAUUGUCAGAUGCCACGCUCAUAUCGUCGUUUAAAGAAAUUUAUAGACACAUGAUUUUGAGACUAACGGAAGAAGGGGAACGGAUAGAAAACCACAGAAGACUAGAAAAGGUGUUACAACACUUUGAAGCUGACCAGUGAUUUGUCACAAAUAAUGACAGUACAGGUAUCAAUAUCAUUAAUCAAUAUUUUUAUAAUUAUUUUACAUAUAGGUCUAACAUUUUUUUUUUAACACAAACAAGAUAUACAUUGACCCACGCAGUGAAUUAGAAAAAAAAAAUUAGACCUUCAAUAUAAAUGUUUUAAAUAUAGAAUUAUUUAUUAUAUUAUCUUGAAUGCUGUUUGUCAAUGAAAACAUUUCACCUAAUAUAUUAUAGUUUAAUGUUAUAGGCCCAGUGAUUACUUAUAAAAAAUAAUGUCUAAUAAAUGAACUACUAAUAAUCUACACUGUACAUGUGUACUUAUAUAUAAAUUAAUAUACAUAUAUACAGAGGCAUACCCAGUAUAUAUUAAUUAUAGCCUAGAAAAUGCCAAACACAGUAAAGUGAAUAAAGAAAAUGAAUUAAAAACAAGAUAAACAAACCACUCACAUAUAUAUCGGGAUUUGAGCAGAACACACAUGUACAUCUAUAAUUAGACUAUUAAUCAUGAUUUUGUUUUUAAAGAUAUGAAUCCUUGGAGUACAUCUGACAGAAUCUUCUGUUUGGCUUCCAUGAAGAAAACCAGGUAUAAAGUGUACAUAUGUUUACCAAAUAGGAAAAACGUAUGCUAUGCAUACUAUGAAUGUCCUUUUGGGUAACAGAUAAGUUUUGAUCUGGAUCAACAAACCUAUUUAUGUAACGUGUAAUAUGGGUUCAAACCACGGAUAAUAAUUUUUCUUAAACGUUUCCUACGUUUCUAAAUGAUUGCAUUAAACUAUAGUUCUAAACAAUGAUAAUAAAUGAAUUUGAAUCAAACACUGUGAUUAUUUCCUUAUUGAUUUAUUAUAGGAUUUUCCUCUAACUAUUCCUUGCCUAGUUUAAUCACUCGUGUUUCAGCCUCUGGUCUGAAACCACUGUUUCAGACGCUGUUUCAAACUACAAGUUUAAACCCUUUAUUUAUUUGAGCAUUUUCUCCCGGGGUAUCUUCUGAAGGAAUAAUGUCUCAAAUGGUCCACCCGCAGUAAUUUGAGGUCCCGCAUAUGAGACAAAAAACCUUACCUAAAUUCUGGAUGUGAGAUACGAUCUUCUCUCUUCUCCGUCUACCAGCAAACUAACUUAAAUGCGCAGAAGCACCUUCAAUUUAUACCUCCGCUCAAUUCUGCUGACUCAUAUGCUAGUCUCCAAAACGUUUGAGACAAUGUACAACACACAAGGAAUAGCUAAUCAUUGACAAGACUUUGAUUGACCCUGAUUGCCUCAUUUACAUAAUCAAAGGAAUUUUCAUUACAUUUAUAAUAUAUUUUGUUCUAAAACUACUGGUAUUUACAGGUACAUUUAACUUUUUAAACUCCUUGGAUUCAAUAUAGUCUAGCACAGUCCUGUAACCAUGCACCAAAACUGAGGAAUGAAUGGGAGGUGGAGUUCAGGGAGAGGAAAAUAAUCAAUAAUAUGUCAUCCUCAGAUCCUGAUAAAAAUUCUUGAUCUGACUAGCUCCAUGCAGGAUUGACAGCUGCUAAGAGUUGUUUCCCAAAACUGAUGUGGAAUAUCCCUGACAUCAUGGAAAGUGAGGUGGAAGUUGGUGUGACUGAGAAUCCUUUAGAAAAAAAAAAGAUGAAAACUCUGAUCUUAUUUGAAGAAAAGUCUGUUUACAAGAAUAAAAAAGACAGUAUUUGAUGAA